GAUGAACGCUGGCGGCGUGCCUAACACAUGCAAGUCGAACGAAGGUAUAUAUAGGAAGUCUUCGGAUGGAAUAUGUAUAACUUAGUGGCGGACGGGUGAGUAACGCGUAAGUAAUCAACCUGUGACACACGGAUAACUGAUAGAAAUGUCAGCUAAUACGAGAUGAACUGUUUAAAUUGGGAAAUGGAAACAGCAAAGCGAAAGCGGUCACAGACGAGCUUGCGUCUGAUUAGCUAGUUGGUGGGGUAAGAGCCUACCAAGGCGACGAUCAGUAGCCGGCCUGAGAGGGUGAACGGCCACAUUGGAACUGAGACACGGUCCAAACUCUACGGGAGGCAGCAGUGGGGGAUAUUGCACAAUGGGGGGAACCCUGAUGCAGCAACGCCGCGUGAGUGAAGAAGGCCUUAGGGUCGUAAAGCUCUGUCGUAUGGGAAGAAACAAAUGACUGUACCAUACAAGAAAGCCCGGU
rnacentral:rRNA from 1 species